ACGGGUGAGUAACACGUGGGAACGUACCCUUUGGUUCGGAAUAACGCUGGGAAACUAGCGCUAAUACCGGAUACGCCCAUGGCCUUUGGCCCUGGGGAAAGGCUUGCUGCCGAAGGAUCGGCCCGCGUCUGAUUAGCUAGUUGGUGGGGUAAUGGCCUACCAAGGCGACGAUCAGUAGCUGGUCUGAGAGGAUGAUCAGCCACACUGGGACUGAGACACGGCCCAGACUCCUACGGGAGGCAGCAGUGGGGAAUAUUGGACAAUGGGCGCAAGCCUGAUCCAGCCAUGCCGCGUGAGUGAUGAAGGCCUUAGGGUUGUAAAGCUCUUUUGUCCGGGACGAUAAUGACGGUACCGGAAGAAUAAGCCCCGGCUAACUUCGUGCCAGCAGCCGCGGUAAUACGAAGGGGGCUAGCGUUGCUCGGAAUCACUGGGCGUAAAGGGCGCGUAGGCGGCCAUUCAAGUCGGGGGUGAAAGCCUGUGGCUCAACCACAGAAUUGCCUUCGAUACUGUUUGGCUUGAGUAUGGCAGAGGUUAGUGGAACUGCGAGUGUAGAGGUGAAAUUCGUAGA
rnacentral:rRNA from 1 species